rnacentral:tRNA from 1 species
GCGGAAGUGGUGGAAUUUGGUAGACACGCUACUUUGAGGGGGUAGUGGGCGUAAGCCUGUGGGGGUUCAAGUCCCCCCUUCCGCACCA